GUCCAGGUAGUCGCCUUCGCCACUGGUGUUCCUUCCUAUAUCUACGCAUUUCACCGCUACACAGGAAAUUCCACUACCCUCUACCGUACUCUAGCUCAGUAGUUUUGGAGGCAGUUCCCAGGUUGAGCCCGGGGAUUUCACCUCCAACUUGCUGAACCACCUACGCGCGCUUUACGCCCAGUAAUUCCGAUUAACGCUUGCACCCUUCGUAUUACCGCGGCUGCUGGCACGAAGUUAGCCGGUGCUUAUUCUGUUGGUAACGUCAAAACAGCAAGGUAUUAACUUACUGCCCUUCCUCCCAACUUAAAGUGCUUUACAAUCCGAAGACCUUCUUCACACACGCGGCAUGGCUGGAUCAGGCUUUCGCCCAUUGUCCAAUAUUCCCCACUGCUGCCUCCCGUAGGAGUCUGGACCGUGUCUCAGUUCCAGUGUGACUGAUCAUCCUCUCAGACCAGUUACGGAUCGUCGCCUAGGUGAGCCAUUACCUCACCUACUAGCUAAUCCGACCUAGGCUCAUCUGAUAGCGCAAGGCCCGAAGGUCCCCUGCUUUCUCCCGUAGGACGUAUGCGGUAUUAGCGUUCCUUUCGAAACGUUGUCCCCCACUACCAGGCAGAUUCCUAGGCAUUACUCACCCGUCCGCCGCUGAAUCAGAGAGCAAG
rnacentral:rRNA from 1 species